AUGGUGCGUGCCCAGGAUGCAUGUCCUGGCAUGUUUCUCCUUGACAGCAACUUCCUGUGCAUUAAUGGCUUUAUUGAUGCUGACGGUCUGCAAGAGAGAAGUGAUGGGGUGAGAUGGGAAAGGCUGAGGCUCCCUCACAGUCCCCCAUUGCUCACUGAGACCCUCUGGCUCUGCGGUGGCUGGGUUCCAUCCAGGUCCCCAAUCCCUGCUUGUGCCAGAUGGAUGCUGACCUUUCCCAGAUGCCUUUCUGGGAUGCAAUUGGCAUCCACCAGGUUCAGCUGCUGCCAGGACUCAUUUACUCAGGAUAAUAAUGAAGCAAGUAAAGUGCUGACAAAAAACCCUCUGCUGCCCUCAGAGUGGUAGGACAGGCAGAGGGAAGGCAAAUUCCUUUCCUGCCUUUGGAUUGUGGGCAGCAGCUGGCAGCUCCUACCCCACUUUUGGGGUGCUGAAUGGGGAGGACAAUUUGGGGGGAAUACAAAAAAUUGGGCAGUGGGAUGGCAAGACCACUGCCAAGGCUGCCUGGCAAAGGUCCAGGCUGCUCCACGGAUUAGAGGGAAAGGAGUGAAACCCACAGGCAGGACUUGCCGUGCAAGUGUUGAGGACCUUGGGGAGGAGUCUUGGCACAGCCAGCCACCAUUUAUCCUACGAAAUGCAGUGGCAGCCACUGGAAGAAUUUUCCAGGCAGGAUUUUUAACUCUACCCCAUUUCUGAUCCUUCACGGGGACGCAAAGAUGCCAGCUCAGGGCCAUCCUCUCCCCAGGCUCCCACAUCACCAAGUGCUUCCUUGGCACCUGCUCCAAUGAACAUCCCACUGCAAAAGGAAGGAACCGUCUGGCUCAGCACUGCCAGAAGUAGCUCAUUACUGAUAUAAACCAAUUAAAGCUGUGAGAUUAAUUUCAAUGCCUUUCUCACUAGAGUCCUUGCUGCAACCCUGCUUCCUGGCCCUCUCUGAGGUGGCUCCACAUCUACAGACUCUCUGAGGUGGCUUCAUCUCUACAGACUCCAGUGAGUCUGUGCUGAGCAGGCCCACAGGAGCCCCAAAUGCGGUGGAGUACAGCCCAAAUCCCCCAGGAAGUCCCUCUGACACCAAAAUAUGUGCUAGCUGGAGCCGGAAUGAUGACAGCCUGAGACAGAUGAGACCCCACCCACAGCUGCAUCCCAGCCCUGCACCCCCAGCCCAGAGUCAAGCACCCCCUUAGCAGAAACUGUGUCCAGAUGUUCCAGUUCUGUUGCAGGGAUGCCACUGCUCUAUGGUGUUUGCAGCCCCAUCCCUAUUGGCUCUGGGUGGUGACAAUGGAGGUGACAUAGGAGGUCAUCAGCAAGAUACAGGAGGCUCAUGUUGAGGUGUCAGGGGACCCAAAUU
rnacentral:lncRNA from 1 species